CUACGGGGGGCUGCAGUGAGGAAUAUUGCACAAUGGGGGGAACCCUGAUGCAGCAACGCCGCGUGGAGGAUGACGCAUUUCGGUGUGUAAACUCCUUUUAUAUGUCAAGAAAAUGACGGUAGCAUAUGAAUAAGCACCGGCUAACUCCGUGCCAGAGCGCGCGGUAAUACGGAGGGUGCAAGCGUUACUCGGAAUCACUGGGCGUAAAGGACGCGUAGGCGGGCUUGUAAGUCAGGUGUGAAAUCCUACAGCUUAACUGUAGAACUGCACUUGAAACUACGAGCCUGGAGUAUGGGAGGGGGGGAUGGAAUUAGUGGUGUAGGGGUAAAAUCCGUAGAUAUCACUAGGAAUACCUAAAGCGAAGGCGAUCUCCUGGAACAUAACUGACGCUAAGGCGUGAAAGCGUGGGGAGCAAACAGGAUUAGAUACCCGGGUAGUC
rnacentral:rRNA from 1 species